rnacentral:lncRNA from 1 species
CUUAUGACUAAAGCUCAAGUUGAAAAUAGGAAGAAAAUAUAAAUGUCCAAUGAUUAAACUUUUUCCACUGCUGUUCACAUCAUGAUCUGUUGUGAUUAAUGUAUGUGGAUGAGGACAUAAUGGAAAAAGAAAAUCCUAGUGGGAGAAAAAAAUUAUAGAUAUGAUGUAAUUUUUUUGUAUAUUGAUUUACUUGUAAAUGUGUUCCUGUUUUAGGAAUGAAAUUGAAGGGUGUUUUUGUCAGAUUUAUCUGAUAAAGAAUUUGAACAUUUAUAUAGUAAGGUAAGUGGUUUAUAAAUUUGCUAGUUUUGACAAAAGAACGGACAAUCAGAUUUGAGCAAAAAAUUGAUAUUUGAGCAUAAUGUGGACAUUGUACUCAAUUAAAUUUUUUUCCUUAUUUUUUCAUUUUUCAAAGAUAACAAGAAUAUGAUUUCAAAGAUAAUUUUCUGAAUCAAUAGAUUUGAUGCAGGAUAGGCAAUUGGGUGGCUGGGGUCAGGACUUUUAACCUUGAUGAUUAUCUUUUCUCAAAAAUAAUGGUGUAAUUCAGCCUCUGAGGUUCUUAGAGAUCAUAUAUUCCAGGGUUUAAAUUUGCUGAACUUUUGUAUGUCCUAUAAAUGACUCUUUGAUAUGCCACUGAAUGACCAUCCUAUAACUUAAUCUUUAUUCAAGAACAGUAGAUAAGUAGGUGGUUAGAAGCUGGGAAUCUCAAAUUUAAUACCAGAUUAAUCUGUCACUAAUUAGGCAUGUUGUCUUGGGGUGUUUCAAAUUUGAGGAAUAUAAAGAGGAAAAAUUCUUGCAAAUACUCAGUAUUGAUUUAAGUUUAUUUUCUAUUUCAUAAAUUUCUACAAACAUAAAAGUUGAUAUAAAUUUUGUUGACGGGCCUUAAUCAAAAGAUUUACAAAAUAAGUGCAUUCAAAGACAAAACAUUAAAUGGGAUGGAUGCUACUGUUACACAGGAGAAAACAUGGUACUGGCUGGUGUGGAAUAAGUUGUAAAUACAUACAGUCUUGUGCUUUGUGAUGAUUAUAAAGCUUUAUAAUCAGGACAACAGUAGAGUUGUCCAGAACUUUACUCUUUUGCAGACCUCAAAAUUGUUGAAAUGAGGGAAGGGGCCUAAGUUCUCAAAAGGAUGUCUUUGGACUGUCUGCAAAUGCUAAUUUGAAGAAUUCUGUAUUACCUUGUCUCCAAACAUUUUUCCAUCUCCAGUGGGAAUUCACUCUGGAACUAACAUUCCUUUGAGAAAAUCUUCAGUUUCUAUUUUGAUCUAUGGUUAAGUUUGGCUAGUAGUUAACUAAAUUGGAUUAAAAGUUGAUUAUUUUGUGAACUAAUGUAAGUUUUUCUUUUUAGAUACAGGUGGUCCUUACUUUGCACCGUUCCAUUAUACAUGAAGAUCAGUUUUCACAGUUUAGUUAAAUAACACCAAUCCUCCUACAACACAGUUGUGAUUUCAGUUACAAUAGUAACUGAAUUGUUGCAUAAGUUUUGUUGCUAGCUCUUUAUUCCACAACUGAUUAUGCAUUAUAAAAGAUGUGCAUCAUGGUCAGUAACCAGUUACAUCACAUCUUUCAAAGUCUCUUGGUGAUUGAUCACUAAACAUCUAUUAGUUCACAGAGUAAAGCAUGUAGUUGUAUUGCUUACUUGUUUCCCAGUAAUAAACCCAUGCAACAUUGUACAAAACUGGAUAAUCAGAAGAGGGAAUUGGCAGGGCAGCAAAGAAACAAGUGAUUUUUAACACUGGAAGUGAAAUUGGAUUUGAAAAUGGCGACAGCAUAGUGAAGACGAGACGAGACCCAGGCCUACAUAAAGCUGCAGCAGAAACUGUGGUUUAAAAGUUCGAGGAAUAUAAAAAGCAAAGUAAAGUUGCUUCAACAUUUUUUAGUUUAAAUUACACUAGGAACAGAAAGCCACUUACAGUUGAAAUGGAGUGCUUGCUUCUACUUUGGAUGGAGGACUGUAAUAAAAAAUCCUAAUCAGUUUGGCUAGCAUUCAGGCCAGAGUGUUGAGGUUAGUUGCUGCACUGAAGGAAAAUGGUAAUUACCAGGAGACUAAAAAAGAACGUUUUUUGCUGGGAAAGGCUGGUUUCAUCGUUCAGAAGUCUGGAGCGCCUGCGUGGCUCAGUCGGUUAAGGUUAAGCAUCGUUUGGAGGUCGGCGUGAAUAGAAUAAUGUUCCACUGGUGAAGCUGCAUGUUCAGAUAAGGAUGCUACUGGGAAAUUUGCACCCAUGUUCCAAGAAUCACAGGCAGUCCUUGCUUUGCACAGUGGUAUGAGACUACUGUGCAAAACUUCAUAGGAUUUGGCUGGAAUGUAAAUGGAGUUCCGGAAGAUAUGACUGUGGGAAUGUUUACACUGCUGCCAUUCAGGAAGUAGUUCUGGAUAUACAGCCAGAAGGUGCUGCUUCAGCAGCACAUACACUAAAAUUGGAUAUAUAGCCAGAAGAAUUUAGUGAAGGUGAACAUAGUUAUAAAUGAGGAAAGCAGUUGUGUGUUGUGAAGGAUGAAUACAUUUGGAGGAAGUGAUUCAGGUGAAAAACCACAUUAAAGGAACUCUGAGAUGUUUCAUGACACUGUGCAAAGCAUUAAACGUUAGAAAAAGAUCAAACUCAGAAAAGAGGAUGACAAUUUGCCAAGGCAUAGGAAAGAUGCUUGCUCCAUAUUGUAAGUUAUAUGAGAAAGCAAGCACUGUUCAAACUACUUGAGACUUGUUUAUAAAGAAAUAAAACAUUCUAAUUUUCAAUGUUUCUAAUGUUUUGAAUAUUUUAUUUUUUAUAUUUCAACCAAAAUCAGUUUCUAAUGUUUGGACAAAUUUUAAGGUUAUAGAACAAUCAGAUUGUGCUUUGCGCGGUUUCAGCUUUCAUAGUCCAAGUGAGAACUCCCUCUAUUUAAAACAAACUAGGAACUCUUUAUAUUUAACCAGAUAUAUCAAGUCUAGAAACAAAUACACUUUUCCCUUAGAUUACCAGUUAUAUUAUGACAGUUUUCAUACUGUCUUUGUAUGCAUGCUACUAUAACAAGGCUUUGAAAUAAAAAUUUAUACAAUACUGUAUGUCUCAUACUUUGACUUGUAGGCAAAUCCUAAUAGAUAGGGAUUGGCAAACUUCUUUUAUAAAUACAGCCAUACAGUGAAUAGGCUUUGCAGACUCUUUAAUGGUCUCUAGCAACUACUCAGUUUUGUCCAUGUAGCACAAAAACAGCCAUAGGCAAUACAGAG